rnacentral:tmRNA from 1 species
GGGGGCGUAACGGCUUCGACGGGAGCGGUCAGCGUCCGAUGAGACGAGCCGAGUUUGCUGGAGACUCGUAAAACGCCGGCACAUAAACAUACACGCCAACGACGACAAGGCUUUGGCUCUCGCCGCUUAAAUAAUAGUGGCGCAUCGGUCCGGGCAGCCCACGGCCCGGUUCCCGGUGUCAUCUUAGUGGGCUCACCUCAAGAGUCCUGGCCCGGGGCUCUGGGGGGACACUCAACGGGCUAGCCCCUCCGUGGCGCCCCGGUCUGCGGAGGUAGGCGAAAAGAAACCGGGAGCGACGCUCGUACAAUCUCACGGACGACGCGCUCGCGGACGCGGGUUCGAAUCCCGCCGCCUCCACUA